rnacentral:rRNA from 1 species
CCUACGGGAGGCAGCAGUGGGGAAUAUUGGACAAUGGGCGGAAGCCUGAUCCAGCAACGCCGCGUGAGGGAUGACGGCCUUCGGGUUGUAAACCUCUUUCAGUACCGACGAAGCGACCCGUUGGGGGAGUGACGGUAGGUACAGAAGAAGCACCGGCCAACUACGUGCCAGCAGCCGCGGUAAUACGUAGGGUGCGAGCGUUGUCCGGAAUUAUUGGGCGUAAAGGGCUCGUAGGCGGUUUGUCGCGUCGGGAGUGAAAACAUCCAGCUUAACUGGGUGCUUGCUUUCGAUACGGGCAGACUUGAGGUAUGCAGGGGAGAAUGGAAUUCCUGGUGUAGCGGUGAAAUGCGCAGAUAUCAGGAGGAACACCGGUGGCGAAGGCGGUUCUCUGGGCAUUACCUGACGCUGAGGAGCGAAAGUGUGGGGAGCGAACAGGAUUA